ACCCAGGUUGUGGGCACCAGAACAGUGGUCUGAGGAACAGGGGCCAGUUCUGCUCACAACCCAUCUUCCAGCAAUUGACAGAGACGAGCUUGAAGAAGGGCUACUCUCCACAGAGCCUGUGGGCUAGCCUACUACCCUAAUGAAGGUGAAGACCCCAGUUUGGCUCCUCUGAGCUGCCCCACCCUGUUGGCAGAGACACAUGUGUAAUGUCAACUCUCCUCACCUGAGUAUAGGUUGACUGGAGUCGGUGGAAGAGAGCAGAGUCUGGUACGAGACCAUGCGUGUAUAGAGGGCGGGAGGAAGGGCUCCCCGGGAACUAGCGUACCGAGGAUGAGCUGAAGGAUGUGUAAGAUGGUUGGAUCCCUAUCUCACACUACUCACAAAAACAUAGUCCAGGUGGAGGGAUGGCUUUGCAGAGAACAUGCGGACCUAACUGCAAAGAAAACGAAACAUGAUAUUUUAAUAAAACUAUGUUGGGGAAA